AGGAUCUACAGUGACUACAAUAACCAAGUGCUACAAAAACGCUGUGACGAGGAAUCUGAACAACAGAGAUUUGAGGGAAACAAAACACUUUCGACGAAGGUCCUGCUGCUUGUCUUCAGCUUGGUACCAAUUAGAGCUUCACUGGAGGUGAAAAGGGCAGACACGGUUGCUGAGUGGCUGGUUGGAGAGUCCCUGAGAGAUUACCCAAGAAACUCAGUUGCGGCACGUGGUGGAGCAGCCUCUCAGGAGAUUUUUAGGGAUGCAAGAUGAAAGGAGCUAAACAUAACUAUAGGAAAUGGAGGCUGUUAUCAGCAUCUAGCUUAGGAUGGCGAGCCAAGCAUGGCUCUCAGGUGCAACUCACAUGGAGACGUGGCUCUCAGGUAAAAGAUACAACUCAGGUACAAAAAUGGAGUUCUAAGUAUAGUAACAAUUUAGUUACAUAGUUACUUCCAUUUCCAGAGAUGUGAUCCUUUGCUGUGUA
rnacentral:lncRNA from 1 species